rnacentral:rRNA from 1 species
GAACUUCCGUUAAUUGAUUAUGACGUACUUGUACUGAUUGAGAUUUUAACACGAAGUGAGUGGCGAACGGGUGAGUAACACGUGGGUAACCUGCCCAGAAGUAGGGGAUAACACCUGGAAACAGAUGCUAAUACCGUAUAACAGAGAAAACCGCAUGGUUUUCUUUUAAAAGAUGGCUCUGCUAUCACUUCUGGAUGGACCCGCGGCGUAUUAGCUAGUUGGUGAGGUAAAGGCUCACCAAGGCAGUGAUACGUAGCCGACCUGAGAGGGUAAUCGGCCACAUUGGGACUGAGACACGGCCCAGACUCCUACGGGAGGCAGCAGUAGGGAAUCUUCCACAAUGGACGCAAGUCUGAUGGAGCAACGCCGCGUGAGUGAAGAAGGGUUUCGGCUCGUAAAGCUCUGUUGUUAAAGAAGAACGUGGGUAAGAGUAACUGUUUACCCAGUGACGGUAUUUAACCAGAAAGCCACGGCUAACUACGUGCCAGCAGCCGCGGUAAUACGUAGGUGGCAAGCGUUAUCCGGAUUUAUUGGGCGUAAAGCGAGCGCAGGCGGUCUUUUAAGUCUAAUGUGAAAGCCUUCGGCUCAACCGAAGAAGUGCAUUGGAAACUGGGAGACUUGAGUGCAGAAGAGGACAGUGGAACUCCAUGUGUAGCGGUGAAAUGCGUAGAUAUAUGGAAGAACACCAGUGGCGAAAGCGGCUGUCUGGUCUGCAACUGACGCUGAGGCUCGAAAGCAUGGGUA